AAUGAAUGUUCUUUUUUUUUUUUUUUUUUAAACGAUGACUUGCUUCACUGUCCCGCAGGUGCUCUGACUAUGUCUGUUCUCUAAAGGUAAACUCAUCGUGUUCUGAGGUUAACGCGGAAUCCUGGAAUUCCUGCCGUGCUCCUCAGCAGAAUCUCAGUAUAUCCGAGCAAAAGAGAAAUGUUUUCUGGAGAAGAAGUGCAUUGGGAUGGGAGGCCAGGAAUGAGUCCCAACAUGCCGGAAAGGAAUGAAGGAUGAAUUCAUGACCAGAGUCUGACACCUCACCCUGCCACUCCCAGAACCUACCGAAAUCCUCCACACUUCUCUACCUAUUUUCUUCAGCGAACACUGUUGCAAUUUCACUCUUACGAACACACAUGUUCACGUAAACAAUCAAGACCAGUGU